rnacentral:tRNA from 1 species
AAGACCACAUCAAAGGCUGCUAACCUUAAAAUAAUGAAGUUCAUUUGGUCUUU